UGUGAAAUGUUGGGUUAAGUCCCGCAACGAGCGCAACCCUUAUCCUUUGUUGCCAGCGAUUAGGUCGGGAACUCAAAGGAGACUGCCAGUGAUAAACUGGAGGAAGGUGGGGAUGACGUCAAGUCAUCAUGGCCCUUACGACCAGGGCUACACACGUGCUACAAUGGCGCAUACAAAGAGAAGCGACCUCGCGAGAGCAAGCGGACCUCAUAAAGUGCGUCGUAGUCCGGAUUGGAGUCUGCAACUCGACUCCAUGAAGUCGGAAUCGCUAGUAAUCGUGGAUCAGAAUGCCACGGUGAAUACGUUCCCGGGCCUUGUACACACCGCCCGUCACACCAUGGGAGUGGGUUGCAAAAGAAGUAGGUAGCUUAACCUUCGGGAGGGCGCUUACCACUUUGUGAUUCAUGACUGGGGUGAAGUCGUAACAAGGUAACCGUAGGGGAACCUGCGGUUGGA
rnacentral:rRNA from 1 species